AUUGAACGCUGGCGGCAGGCCUAACACAUGCAAGUCGAGCGGAUGAAGGGAGCUUGCUCCUGGAUUCAGCGGCGGACGGGUGAGUAAUGCCUAGGAAUCUGCCUGGUAGUGGGGGAUAACGUCCGGAAACGGGCGCUAAUACCGCAUACGUCCUGAGGGAGAAAGUGGGGGAUCUUCGGACCUCACGCUAUCAGAUGAGCCUAGGUCGGAUUAGCUAGUUGGUGGGGUAAAGGCCUACCAAGGCGACGAUCCGUAACUGGUCUGAGAGGAUGAUCAGUCACACUGGAACUGAGACACGGUCCAGACUCCUACGGGAGGCAGCAGUGGGGAAUAUUGGACAAUGGGCGAAAGCCUGAUACAGCCCUGCCGCGUGUGUGAAGAAGGUCUUCGGAUUGUAAAGCACUUUAAGUUGGGAGGAAGGGCAGUAAGUUAAUACCUUGCUGUUUUGACGUUACCAACAGAAUAAGCACCGGCUAACUUCGUG
rnacentral:rRNA from 1 species